CAAUCUAAAGCAACUGGGUUUGGUUCCUGCGUAUUGCUGUAUAUACACGAGGUGCCCGUGUGCAUACUGUAUGCCAGGACCGACUGACGGAUGUAUUUUGAGGGGAUUAGGGAUUCCAGGCAUGUUCGGGGAGGUGGAGAGAGAGCUCCUCCUCAGUUCACCCUGACAUUGUGAGUGUCAGCAUCAGAUCACUUUAAUCAGGCAAGGGAUAUGCAUGAUAAAACGGAUAAGGGACUUUAAUCAAAAAAAUUCGCUGGUCUGGAAACGUGACACACUCCGACAAGCACGCCUCAUCCCUGCCGCACCCCCGUGUCACUGCCAGGCGUGGGCUCGUCAUGAAUAUGCAUGGCAGGAAGGCAAGCUGCUCGAGCGUGGAGAAAAUGGCGGACGGUGUACAAUUCGUUGAGGGCGAAACUAUGGUAAUUCAGGACUGUCAGUCAGCGGCCGUGGGCGAGGCUUGAGUAGUGUGACUUCACACGGCUCAGAGAAUCAAAAGUAAGGGGCCAGUCGUCCGGAUACACGGGGCAGCACAACCUACUCCAGCCCAGCCUCAGCUCAUUAGCCAGCCCUGCUAAGACGGAGGUGUCUUCGCUUCCAAAGCCUCCGCUUUGACAUUCACGCAGUGCUUCCAGUCGAUCAGUGUGUCGAAGAAAAGAUCAGCACUGUAAGUGAAACUUUUGAGGCAAUUACCUUGACAAGUAAAGCUGAGGCAAAAUGAGUGACCACCUCUCCAGCAUCAUGUAAUUAUAGGCAUAUUUUGAGGGGAACUUGAUCUACUGAAGGUUUAAGCCUGACACCCAACUCUUCAGCAGACAGAGAAUGGUGUAUAUACUUGACGACACAUGUGAGCAAGAAGCUUCGUAGCACUCCAUCAAGAGUGCUGGGAUCGAAGGGAAGUCUAAACGAUCCUGCUCCUUCUGUGUCAUUAGGGCAGGGAGGAGAACCCCAUAAAAGAACUACUGAAAUCUCCUUGAAGGAGGAGGAAAAGAAAGGCUGAAUAUCGAUCUGUCUGUCCACGGAUAUGAUACUUAAGCCCAGUACUCAGAGUCAGAGAGCCUAGAGAUCCAUAUCUCAAAGACUUUAAUCCAUGCUCCUCUCUAGCUAGAUUGGCCUUCACCCUAACCUCUUGACAACUGCACGAACAGAUCAGGGCCGCUUGUGCUAACUUGGACUUGACUGACCAGAUUAAGAGAGGAGGCCAAAGGUCAGAUCAAUUGUCUGGAUGAUCAAUUGAGUGGAUAAGAGACAUGAUUCUGGACGAUUUGACUGACAUCUCAGUGCUUCAGAUGGCUAAAAGCCCAGCAGCCAAUGUCCUCCUUGAAAUGGCUUGAGAAGUGACCCUGCUGACCUCUGGCUCUGAUCUGAAUCUGAGAUGGGUCUGCUCUAGCUCCUGCUUAAAAUUGCGGUGCAUAUGCUGGGCUGUGUAAUGGCCUGGGGGCCCUCCCCAGCUACAAGAGAACAAAUGAACAAUUCAUCAUCGGCAGCUGUCCGCCAGGCCCAGGUGACUGCAUACAGCCCCCCUUUGACAAAAAAACAUGGGGGGCAGCUUUUAAUCGGACAAACACUAAUUGGAUGGCCUGGAAAGAUUAGAGGAGCCCCCUGGAGCUACUGUUCUCAUCAAUAGAGGCAUCUUCACGCCUGCCUCGAACACAGACCAGAGCGAACCUCACUCUCCAGACCUCUCAGAGGAGGAAACACCCAAUCAAACCACAAAUAUGACGCCACAGAGGCCAUGCACCACAUGUGAAAUUAUAUCAAAAUAACUUCAAUAUGUUUUUUAUAUUGUUGUUUUCCAUGAGGUGAAUGGGCUUUUCCCAGGAGAUACUAUCCUCCUGAAAUGUUCCACCAAAUGUGUGAUGGAUGGAUUCUAAAUCUAAUUAUAAAAUUAUUUUCGUACUCCAAUUCAUUUUUGAAAUAUAAUCAUUUACACAUUUACUGUUAUAAUUUGUUUUCAUAACAAAUUUAUUUAAACAUAUACUAAAUAAUUAAGACAUUAUUAACAAGUAAAGUAAAUAUAAUGAAUAUAUAAGCUAAUAUAGUGCAUAUAUUUAGUGAAAUUCUCCCCUAUCUAGUGAACUGACAUGCUGUGGACACUAAAUGACUUACCUGAGGUAAAUGUGAUGCUACGUGAGAUAUUAUUCUCAAGCUGCUUUGUGCUUUUUCUGCAGUUGAAACACUGAUUGAGAGAUUAGACGUAACCAUAUCUAUGCAUACAGAUCGUCUGUUCUUCAUCUUCCUGUUGCGGCAGUUGGCAAACAGCAUUGCAUUACCAUGCGUGCCCCCUUUUGGAUUGGAGUGUGGAUCUCCUGUGACUUAGGAUACACAUACUGAUUAUUGGCCAUCAUGCGAGAAAGAUACUUUUUGAAAACAGAUGAUGUAGUUACAACAAAUACCAGCAGGAGCUAACAGGUCAUGCUAACCAAGGGUGCGUUUCCCAAAAACAAUUAUGGUUGCAAGUUCCGUUAUUACCGACGGAAUUAACAUUACCAAGUUCAAUGGAACUGGCAACCAUAGUUGGCUAAUGAUGCUUUUGGGAAAUGCAGCCCAAGAAAGACUUGACCCAGUUGACUCUGAACAGUCUUUACAGUUUAUAGUGUCUUUAGAUCACAGUACUACAUUUACCAUGGUUAAAAUUCACAAAUCCAGAAUUGCCUCCCUGUUUUUAUAUUUAACAACACUGGAAGUUUUAAUCAUAUAUGCACUACUAAUGUCCCUGGUUUUCAUUUCAGAAAUCUGGUCACCUUAGUCUUUCAGUGCUCUGCCUUUCAUUCUGCGAGCGGGCGAGCGUAAUUCUUUGUUCUCACUGCUUUGUGCUGGAAUUGAGCCAAGAGCUUAAUUUAACGAUAUGAGUUUCUACAUGUGUAAUGUGGAGGGUGCAGCACAGAUGCUUGGAGUCUCACAAUAUCCACCCCACACUGAGCAGCCACUCACACAUUAUGUUUUUGUCUGAACGUAAAGCUUCCAACAGUGAGUUAAAUGGAAUAUUUAUGUCUUGGGAUUGGGAAAGAAUGUCCAAAUUAGACGGGAGCUUGAGGAGUCAUUUGAUCUCUUCUAUGAUUAGCUGGUGACAAUGAUAUCAAUUGCACCCUUCAGCCCUCCUACCUGCGACCUUAAUAGGUGAAAUCUGCUGUUUUGACUGUCAUCUCACCAGUCAUCUCACCUCUACCCCUCCUCUUUCUCUACACAACACACAUUCACAGAGGCCCUGGCGAUUUUCACCUCCAACCCAGCUCAUGCUAGUAAUCGUUGCUUGACUUUCGCUUUCUUGGAACGUUACCAGACGAGGCCCAUACUCAUCACCAGUCAGACCUUUCAGAGUAGCUACCAAGUUUAAUUUUAUUUUUGGGUGAACUAUCCCUUUAAACCAUUUCUGAUCAUUAGAAAACGUACUUGUAGGGGGAAAAAGUCUACUGUACCUAGGCCUCUUUCGUUUGCUCCUUUGCUGAAAAUGCUGAAAUUCCUCCUCUGAAACAGCAAGUAUUUUUCAAGCACUUUGCUUCCACAGUAUUGCGAACUUGUACAUAACAUUUAAAUAAACAUUCUACUGUCAAAUAAAUAAAACAUAACACAG